rnacentral:lncRNA from 1 species
GGAGUAUAUGUAACGUGAACAUAGUCAUAUCUAGUAUUUUAUAUGAAAAGAGUUUGCAAAAUUAUAUAAAAGUUUGAAGAGGAUGGGAUUCCAAUCAAAACUUUAUCUCCACUUACUUUAUACAGAUCUUGCUGGAAAUAGUCACUUUCUUCAGCUUGAUGAUAAUGAUAAGAUUUAAAAGUGUUUGCAUAUGAGUGUCUGGGUGGAAAAGGGGGACAAUUUUCUUAAAGUGAAAGGCAAACCAAGAUGUUUCUGUAUGUUAACCUCUUGUGCUAGGUUGCUGACUGACUGACUUUAAAUGGGUUUUUUUAAAUUUCCUUGAUUCACUACUGAUUUAGCUAAGCAAAGCAAAAUAUUCUAUUGUGAUUUACAGGAUUACAGGAGUCACUUAAAUCUCUAGUCUCG